rfam:Rattus norvegicus chromosome 4, whole genome shotgun sequence.
GGGGAUUUAGCUCAGUGAUAGAGCACUUGCCUAGCAAGCGCAAGGCCCUGGGUUCGAUCCCCAGCUCCG